rnacentral:lncRNA from 1 species
GCCGAAGCUCGGCAGAAAUCUCACACUCCUUCGCGAGCUCCCCCUCGGCCGCCUCCCUGGCAGCCCUCUCGUUCUCAUAGGACGCCCGAGCGUCCCUCUCCCGAUGGAGAAAUACUGACUUCUCCAGGGAGGUGGCCUUGAGCGCCUACAAGAUCGGAGAUCACACCAGGAGUUAGUAUUGCAAAGUGAGGAUAAAACUACUUCACAACAUGGAUAAAAGUCUUACCUGAGCCAGAUUAAACAUGUCACGGGCCACGAGCUGAGAAGCUCGGUUGAGGGCCUCGACACCGGCACGCCCACACGCGUCCAGACCCUGCCAGAGGUAAUUC